UACGGAGGGUGCAAGCGUUAUCCGGAUUCACUGGGUUUAAAGGGUGCGUAGGAGGGCAGGGAAGUCAGUGGUGAAAUCCUAGAGCUUAACUCUAGAACUGCCGUUGAUACUCUCUGUCUUGAAUCCCGUGGAGAUGAGCGGAAUAUGUCAUGUAGCGGUGAAAUGCUUAGAUAUGACAUAGAACACCAAUUGCGAAGGCAGCUCGUUACACGAAGAUUGACUCUGAGGCACGAAAGCGUGGGGGUCAAACAGG
rnacentral:rRNA from 1 species